rnacentral:tRNA from 1 species
AACAUAUCCCAUUUACGAAUAGUAUUAAACAUCACUUAGCUUUAUCCGUUGCUAAAGUAAGCAAUAGCAUGCAAUU